GCUGCUGCUCGUUAUAACUGACUGCUCUAUCGGUCCCGAAUUAUUUCAUAUUUGCCUGUACAUUUUUUAUUUAUUUUGAGCGAAUUUGAGUCGUGACAUGUCAAUGGAGAACAAAUACUGUGAUCACAAGAAGGGUCAGGUGUUCUGCGAGGUCCUGAAAACAUCCUGGCAAAAUGAGAGUCAUUGAGGAUCCAGCUUGUUCUUGAAACAUUGAAGUUUGCCCUCUGCAAGUGAACGACUCCUUGUGGUGCCAUCCCAAAGAAGUUCACAAUCACUCUCUCGGACCUUUUCCUGGACUGUGCCCAGCUGGUGGAAUCACCUCCCAAUCUCAAU